CUUCAUCCACCUGUUGCGGGCAGAUGAAAUGAAUGUGAGUAUCGAAUCCUCCGGCCGUCACGAUCUUGUUUUCACCAGCAAUCACAUCGGUCGCGGAGCCCACAACCAGGUCCGGGUGAACGCCGUCCAUUACAUCAGGGUUUCCAGCCUUGCCAAUUCCAACAAUGAUUCCAUUCGUGAUACCAAUGUCAGCCUUGUAGAUUCCAGUCCAGUCGAUAAUCAACGCAUUCGUAAUAACCGUGUCGACGCAUUCCGCUGCCGAUCUUCCAGAUGCUUGUCCCAUACCCUCGCGAAG
rnacentral:sRNA from 1 species